AGCGAACGCUGGCGGCGUACUUAACACAUGCAAGUCGAACGAGGAUCUUCGGUGUAGCAAUACAUUGGCGGUCCUAGUGGCGCACGGGUGAGUAACACGUGGGUGACCUGCCCUUGAGUUCGGGAUACCCCCUCGAAAGGGGGGCUAAUACCGGAUACGUUCCUCGAUCGAAAGAUCGGGGAGGAAAGGUGGCGCAAGCUGCCGCUCUUGGAGGGGCUCGCGGCCUAUCAGCUAGUUGGCGGGGUAACGGCCCACCAAGGCUAUGACGGGUAGCUGGUCUGAGAGGACGACCAGCCACACGGGGACUGAGACACGGCCCCGACUCCUACGGGAGGCAGCAGUGGGGAAUUUUCCGCAAUGGGCGAAAGCCUGACGGAGUGACGCCGCGUGUGGGACGAAGGCCUUCGGGUCGUAAACCACUGUCAGUGGGAAAGAUGGGUGUCGGUGCUAAUACCGCCGGCACUUGACGGUACCUGCAGAGGAAGCCCCGGCCAACUCUGUGC
rnacentral:rRNA from 1 species